ensembl:ncRNA C25D7.17 ncRNA
UUCACGGGAGGGCGCCUGAGAUGAUUUGGUGGGGGGUCUAUGUGGGUUUUAACGAGGAAAAAGAAAAAAGGAAAGGACGACCGGGCACACCAACUUUCGAGUCAACUGAUAGAGAAGGAAAAAGCGAAACAAAUAGACCGUCUUGAGACGAAGAGCACAAAAUUCCGGCCCUGAGAGUGGCGCC